AAGAAGAAGAGGAAGGGGAUUCGAGGUGCAAGAAAGCUCCGGUUGCACUACGAGCUGAAGGAAAAAGUGUAGAUCUCCUUCUUCUCUACGCAAGGACCUCGAUUUGCAAAAAGAAAAAGAUAAAUAUCCGUCCCUAUCUAGUCUUUUGAUGACAUUAGGCUAUACAAAGGGUGGAUAUAGUCUAGAGGGGUCGGAUAAGGGUUGUAGAGGCAGUUAAAAGAGGAAGAAUCGGAUUUUGACAAAUUUUUCCAGCACUACAGAAAAACUGUGUCGAAGUCCCAACUUUGGCGAAUUAUUUCGGAGGUCAAACGGCCUCCGAUAGUGAUGCAUAUUACUACUCUGGAAUCCUCUAUGAGCGUAGGAUGUUAGGUAAAAAUUUCAUCAAAUUUGGAGUCUGGAAAGUGGAUCAAACUCGGGAUAAAGUAACCGGCUGUCGGUCCGAGUUACUGUUCAUCCAGGUGGAAAAUAAGGGAUUUCAUGCUAUAAUAGAGUAUUAAGCCUAGAUCAAGCUAAAAGGGACCUUGUACUCAUGCAAGGGAGUCCCUAAUACACAUAAAUGGUGAGUUAAUUAAUUAAAAAGAAAAAGAAGAAAGAAAAGAAAAGAUUUAGGG
rnacentral:lncRNA from 1 species